GGAUGUGGCUCAAUCGGUAGCGCGCAUGCCUGGCAUGCGUGUGGCCCGGGUUUGAUCCUCAGCACCA
rnacentral:tRNA from 1 species